rnacentral:lncRNA from 1 species
UCGCCGUAAUAACCCGCUGUUAAAAACUAUUGUGAGAAAAAAAAAAGUGUUCGUCACAAAAGAUGUUGUUAUUUGUGAGGAGAUAGUUCGUCGCAGAUACUUAUCUACAUAUUGUGAAAUAAAUAUUAAAAAGAAAAUGGUCACAGAAAAAGUAAACAUUUUGUAGUCACAUUUUAUAAAUCGCCACAAAUUAUAGCCGACAAUUUUCACA